rnacentral:rRNA from 1 species
CAGUCGCCACGGUAAUACGGAGGAUCCAAGCGUUAUCCGGAAUCAUUGGGUUUAAAGGGUCCGUAGGCGGUCUUGUAAGUCAGUGGUGAAAGCCCAUCGCUCAACGGUGGAACGGCCAUUGAUACUGCAGGACUUGAAUUAUUGGGAAGUAACUAGAAUAUGUAGUGUAGCGGUGAAAUGCUUAGAGAUUACAUGGAAUACCAAUUGCGAAGGCAGGUUACUACCAAUUGAUUGACGCUGAUGGACGAAAGCGUGGGUAGCGAACAGGAUUAGAUACCCCUGUAGUCCCUGUCUCUUAUAC